rnacentral:rRNA from 1 species
GACGAACGCUGGCGGCGUGCUUAACACAUGCAAGUCGAACGGAAAGGCCUGCUUUCCCUUGUGGAUUGCGGGUACUCGAGUGGCGAACGGGUGAGUAGCACGUGAGUGAUCUGCCCCCAACUUGGGUAUAAGCCUGGGAAACUGGGUCUAAUUCCCGAUAGGACUGCAGGGUGGUGCCUGUGGUGGAAAACGAUUUUCUAGUGGUUGGGGAUGAGCUCGCGGCCUAUCAGCUUGUUGGUGGGGUAAUGGCCUACCAAGGCGGCGACGGGUAGCCGGCCUGGGAGGGUGGACGGCCACAUUGGGACUGAGAUACGGCCCAGACUCCUACGGGAGGCAGCAGUGGGGAAUAUUGCACAAUGGGCGGAAGCCUGAUGCAGCGACGCCGCGUGGGGGAUGACGGCCUUCGGGUUGUAAACUCCUUUCGACCGCGAGGAAGCCACCUGGUUGGAAGGGUGGUGACGGUAGUGGUAGAAGAAGCACCGGCUAACUACGUG